UAUCUAAAGCCAACAGAUACAAGUAGAAACUCCUUUCCUAUCUACCGGCUUUACCCAAGGAAGUGCACAUGCACCAUUCAUAUUCAACUAAGUAUUCUCAUAUCUUGGCUUUUGAGAAACAAUUUCCACCUCACCACAAACAGUAAUGUUAUAAGGGCUUAUUAGAAAUAUUUACUAUAUUAAUAAACACUAUAAAAAUUGAAAUUUCAAAUUGACAGUCUAUUUCCUAGUGCUUUUUAAAAUAAUCAUUGACAUAUUAGAUAUAACUUUAUUAUGAGAUUAGAAAAGCAGUUACAGUUCAUAUUCUUUUAAUAAAUUACUCUAGACUUCACUACAUUUCCUAAGACAAUUUCAUUGUACACAUAAAGAGCAAUUUGGAUAAAUCUGGGGAUCUCUUCCAAGGAGAAAUUUCUCUCUCUUUCUAUCUCCCAUUUCUAAGCUGUCAGAAGGGAAGUCAAUUAUAAACAAGUAAAACUCCAGCUGCAGUAGUCCUUGUUCUGUCACUCAGUAAUUGUGUGAUCGUGGCUAAGUUAUUCCAUUCUGAGCAUCAGUGUCCCUGUCUACAAAAUGAAGAAUUUAGGCUGGAUAAUAACCAUAGAUCUGUACAGUUAUAAAACCUUUUAAAUUCUAUUUUUUUUUAAUUUGAAUU